AGACGUCUACAUUAGAUACCCGCGUAGUCCCAGCCGUAAACUAUGCGCGUUAGGUGUAUCGGUGACCACGAGUUACCGAGGUGCCGAAGGGAAACCGUGAAACGUGCCGCCUGGGAAGUACGGUCGCAAGGCUGAAACUUAAGGAAUUGGCGGGGAGCACCACAACGGGUGGAGCCUGCGGUUUAAUUGGACUCAACGCCGGACAACUCACCGGGGACGACAGCAAUAUGUAGGCCAGGCUGAAGACCUUGCCUGAAUCGCUG
rnacentral:rRNA from 1 species